ensembl:lncRNA
GUAAGUAAUGAACAUUUCCAUGGGUUAUGACUUUGAGGUUUUGUUUUACUUCAUUCUAAUACAUGGCCCUUCUAAAAGUGGUACGAUCAUAACUCAGCCUAGGUUUAAUUAAGAUUAUUUUUGAAAAAUCUCGAUGGGUAGGUAAUUUACCUAGUUUCUCAUUCAGAUUUAGGAAAUUUUGCUUUAUUGCUGCAUGCAUUUCUAAUUAUCUUUUCCCAUGCUGUUCUUAGUAUGGAUGGAACACAGUCUCUCUCUUUCCUGCUUGGUAUGUCAGCAAACAUUUGAGGAGUGUUUAGUUCAGAAUACUGUUGGGUAUUAUGGAUUAAAUAAUCUGAUAUACCUGUCAAUUUCAUCAGAAACAGCAUUUAUGUAUAUACACAUAGUCUAUAUCGGGCUUCCCAAGUGGCAUAGUGGUAAAGAAUCCGUCUGCCAGUCCAGGAGAUGCAAGAGAUUCAAGUUUGAUACUUGGGUCAGGAAGAUCCCUGGAGAAGGAAAUGGCAACCCACUCCAGUAUUCUUGCCUGGAAAAUUACAUGCACAAAGGAGCCUGGAAGACUACAGUCCUUGAGGUCAAAAAGAGUCAGAUGCAACUGAGUACACACACACUCACACAUCUAUACCACGUUAUACACCAGAACACACACACACAUGCCUAUACCAUGCUAUGCACCAGAAAUCUUUGUGAAAUGUAAACUCAAAUUAGAGACCUUGUUUUAUUUUGCAGUGAAAUGGAGUUAAUCUCAUUGCAGUGUUGUGUAUUUUAAGAUACCUAGAUUAUAAUAGGGACUCAUUAACUGAUAACUAUUUAUUAUUUAUCUAGAUAUGCUCCAAAGUGCUUUGCUCAUGGCAAACAGUAAAUACUGGUUGAAUGAAUGAACAUGGCGUGUUCCUUACUAUACACGUAGGGAAAACGCCAGGAUGGGGAUCCAGUAGCGCAAUGACGUCAUCAAUGACGCUUAGCGUGGAGGUGUCUGCCCUAAACCUUUCACCAGAUGCAGGCUCUCUCUUGACCUUGGAAUGUGGAUUACUUAAAAUUUUAGGGGGAAAAAAAUGUGUACCUAGUAGGCCCUCGCCUCUUGUUAGUAUGGAGCUUGAGCAGUUUUCUUAAAUGUGGAAAAGCUAAGCUCACUUGACACAAAUCAGGGGGAAAAAAGGUUUCUACAAGUUAUUCAAGUUAUUCAUGUCAAAAGCGAUUAGUGGGCCCCAGCUUCCAUUACAUCAUUCAUUGGGAGAGGCUGGGAGCUCUGCAAGUCAUAUGAUUCCAUGGAGGAAUUAAGGCUGAAUUUUCUUUUGUGUUUCUGCCCUUAGCUAUAUUCAGUAGUAAGCAUGUUUGGAAAAGGUUAAAACAGAACAUGGAGCUCUAGUUUAUUUUAAUGCUGUCAGACUGCUAAGCAGUGGAAACUUGCUGAAGAUAUUUACCAAGCUGUUUCCUUAAAGACUUUAGUGAAUUAAUUAAAAGGGUUCUGAGAGAUACAACAUGCCAGACCCCUACUGGCUCAUAAAAUUGUUCUUUCUGAUUGAUGUGACUUGACAGCUAAGCACAGCGCAUGUAAAGCUGCAGGGGAAUAAAACAAGAGUAGUGCUGAUGUGUUCAAAAGACAUGUAAGUGUUCCACUUGAAUUGGCUGUGACCGCAGAGUCAGCUGGACACUGUGCUCGUUUCCUUUGGCUCAAGUACCCGAGCUCUGUAGAAGCACAGAUUUGGCAAGGUGCUCAACUACUGAGUGAAAAUGAAGUCACAGCUUCAGAAGAGAUUCACAGAUGGCGAUGUACCACUCUGCCAGUUGCCAGCACUCUUUCUACCUCCACUGAGAACAUGGAGAGAUUCUGCCACUACAGAAGGAGGAAAGAAAGUUAUAAUUCAAGAAGGACUUCCUGGGCUUCCCUGGUGGUCCAGUGGUUAAGAAGUUGCCUAGCAAUGCAGGGGACAAGGGCUCGAUCGCUGGUCCGGGAGGACCCCACACGACGCAACUACUAAAGCCCACCCGCCCUAGAGCCUGUGCUCCACAAUGAGAAGCCACAGCAACGAGAAGUUCACACACCACAGCUGGAGAGUAGCCCUCACUCGCCACAACUAGUGAAACCCACAUGGAGCAACAAAAACUCAGAGCAGGCAUAAAUAAACAGAUAUUAAAAAGUAAAAAAAAGAAAGGACUUCCUGCUGUCAAGGCAUGACAGACACCACCACAAAACAAGUGAGGGAGAAUCUUAGCUGAGAAAAGAUGUUUCUGUUAUAGAAAAUACCCCACCUCACCCCCUCCCCCAUCCCAAGCCUCGCUUGAGGGAGGCUCUACUCUCGGAAGGGCUUGGGCGGUCGGAGUCAGAAUCAGCAAGCUUUUGUUGAAUAGACAGAUACUGCAUACAAGGCAGCUCCAUGUACUUCUUUCUACUACACCCUUUUAAUAUUUGAACUUAAGAGAAACCCUCCAACUUUUUCCUAAGUGGAAUUUUAUUUUGAAAUGAGAUCCUGCAGCGUGAGGACCAACUACAGAAACACUUUAGUGUUAAGGGACCUCCACAGCCUGAAACAUUUUUCCUAACUUGGACCACUGUUCCAUGCGCAUCCAGAGGCUAUACUACAUCCUACAUUAACAGCUUGUUCUUAACCUCCCACUCCAAAGAUUUACUGAGAAUUUCUUUCUGAGCAGAGCUACUCUCGUAAAAGAAAUAGUAGAAGCAUGUUGUGUUAGGAUAAUUGCUAUAAUAGAAAGAUCCAAGUAAAGAACAUAGCUCACAUACAGUAGUUUAUUUCUUGCUUCUAGGGUUGUAUAACUUUUGAACUGUGGUGUUGGAGACAACUCUUGAGAGUCCCUUGGACUCCAAGGAGAUCAAAUCAGUCAAUCCUUAAGGAAAUCAGUCCUGAAUAUUCAUUGGAAGGUCUGAUGCUGAAGCUGAAACUCCAAUACUUUGGCCACCUGAUGCGAAGAACUGGCUCAUUGGAAAAGACCCUGAUGCUAGGAGAUAUUGAAGGCAGGAGAAGGAGACAACAGAGGAUGAGAUGGUUGGAUGGCAUCACCGACUUGAUGGACAUGACUUUGAGCAAGCUCUGGGAGUUGGUGAUGGACAGGGAAGCCUGGCAUGCUGCAGUCCAUGGGGUCUCGGUCAGACACGACUGAGCGACUGAACUGAGGGUUGCAGAGCAGCACUCCUCCAUGUAGCCAUUUAGGAACCCAGGUUAAUGAAAGCCUGCAAAAGGCAUGGAGGAAACAGGAGGUUUUUGUGAAUCUAGAAGUAGGGCUGUUGUCAUUUUUUGUGCUAAGUCAUGUCUGACUUGGUGACCCCAUGGACUGUAGCCCACCAGGCUCUUCUUGUCCACAGGAUUUCCGAGGCAAGAAUACUGGAGUGGGUUGCCAAAGAAAAUUUUCAUAUAUAGAGAGGACUGGGCCCCCAGGAUGAGGGUGAGCAUGUGGAGCGUAUCCAUCCUACUUUCAUCAGUCUGGAGACCGCUGACGGCCAUUGGCAUUAGUUACCAUCCAGAAGGAUUUGACUGCUAAGGCCUGAAGGAAAAAUGUUGUGUUUAUUGACUGUGUUCAUCUCUCACACUCAAACUUUUCUUUCCAUUCUCCCAACUAUGUCUUAAUUCAUCAUUUCCUUUUUUAAAAAAAAAAAAAUGCAUGUAUUUGGGGGCACUUGGUCUCAGCCACCGCUCACAGGAUCUCUGAUCUUUGUUGUAGCAAUUGGGAUCUUCAGCUGCAGCACGCUCAAUCUUUUAGUUGUGGCAUGCAAACUCUUAAUUGCGACAUGUGGAAUCUAGUUCUUGACCAGGAAUUGAACCCAGGCUCCCUGCAUUAAGAGCUUGGAGUCUUAACCACUGGACCACCAGAGAAGUCCCCAGUUCAUCAUUUCUUAAACUAUGUAAAUAGCCUCCUAACAGAGGCCCCUACCUCUGUCCUCUCGCACCCUCAACCCCAUCUAACAUGUGACUCACCGUGUUAUGCUUCAAUGGUUCCUCGUCACUCACAGGCUUGAGUCAACUUUCGUGAUAAAAAAACUGAAUUCACAUUCCAGUCCCUUCCUACCUCUUAGACCUCAUCUCCUGGCAUCGCACCCUGGGCAUUCUGUGUCCAGCUUUGUCUUCCCCGCAUACUCUAUGUACUGACAUGCCUCCUUGCCUGGGAUGUGCCAUCCUUCCUGGGCCCACUCCCACCUGUCCAUCAGUUUUCUCUUUAAUGUCACUCCAUUGGUGAAACCUUUCUUGAUUCUCCUCGGCUUGGUGAUGCACCCCUUCUUCAAGAGAAUCAUAAUUGAUUGGUAAAGAAUAGUUAUCUCUCUAAACAAUGUAUUUUUCUCCUUUAGACUCUAAGCUAAAUGAGGCCCUAGAACAUGUGUUUUCAUUGUGUAUCUCAAGUGCUUCAUAUGGUUUCUGAUGAAGAGCUGGUAUUCAGUGAAGAUUCGUCAAGUGAAUGAAUGAAUGGUUUUUAACCCUUGGAUCAUUUAAGGAUGAAGAUGCUCUUUCUUGUCUGUCACCCACCUAAGAAUAAAGGGUUUGGAACUUCCCUGAUGAUUCAGUGAGUAAGACUUCGUGCUCUCAAUGCAGGGGACUCUGGUUCAGUCCCUGGUCAGGGACAUCCCAUAUGCCACAGGUGAAAAUCACACAUGCCACAACAAAGACCUGGCACAGCCAAAAGAAGAAGAAGAAAAAAAAAAAGAAUAAAGGGUUUGAAGAAGACAGGACAGGAAGUUGACACAAAAGCAGAAGAAAUGAAAGUUGGAUCUCAGAAGACUGUUGAAUGAGAGGUCUCUGACAUGUCAGUGUGUAGGGUUGGAUGGGGCAUCUUAAUGCUGUGAGAGAGGAGACUGGUCGUCAGUACCCAAUCUUUCAUGGCUCCUUACUGACAGAGAGCCCUUAUAUUAUUCGAAGUGUCAAUGCUGCUGCUAAGUCACUUCAGUCAUGUCUGACUCUGUGUGACCCCAUAGACGUCAGCCCACCAGGCUCCCCCACCCCUGGGAUUCUCCAGGCAAGAACACUGGAGUGGGUUGCCAUUUCCUAGCUUAUUGGAGGGGGUUUCUUAGAACAACCUUUAAAGAUGGUUGACUUCACUGGGAGGUCUCCCCUUUGCCUCAGCCUCAUUGCUGCUGCUUAGAAUGGAUGUGGUAUCUGCAGCUGCAAAUCUUGUUACCAGGAAACAACCCUGAGGAUGGAAGCCAUGGGCUAAGGAGAGCGGAAUAGAGAUGUAGAAGGAGCCUGAGUCCCUAAUAGGAUGGAGUCACCCUACCAGGCCUGCUGUGCCUAUUUUGAACUUCCCCAUAAGAGAGAACUAAAGUUUCAAUUUGUUUAAAUCACUCUUACUCACAUUUCCUGUUUUAUGUGAAAGUGAAGUGAAAGUGUUACUCGCUCAGUUGUGUCUGACUCUUUGUGACCCUAUGGAUUGUAGCCUGCCAGGCUCCUCUGUCCACAGAUUUUCCAGGCAAGAAUACUGGAGUGGGUUGCCAUUCCCUUCUCCAGGGGAUCUUCCCCACCCAGGGAUCAAACCUGAGUCUCCUGCAUUGCAGGCAGAUUCUUUAACAUCUGAGCCACCAGGGAAGCCCAAACUAAUCCCAGCUGAUACAGAGGAGAUAUUUACAGAGUCCUCAUACAUCAGAUGGAGAAGGCAAUGGCAACCCACUCCAGUACUCUUGCCUGGAAAAUCCCAUGGAUGGAGGAGCCUGGUGGGCUGCAGUCCAUGGGGUCGCGACUGAGCGACUUUGGUUUCACUUUUCACUUUCACACAUUGGAGAAGGAAAAGGCAACCCACUCCAGUGUUCUUGCCUGGAGAAUCCCAGGGAUGGUGGAGCCUGGUGGGCUGCCGUCUACGGGGUUGCACAGAGUCGGACACGACUGAAGUGACGCAGCAGCAGCAGCAGCAUACAUCAGAUAUUUCAUGCAUGUUACCUCUUCAUAGCUUCAUGAUAGUGCUAUAAAGGUUGGUCAGCCUGCUCCUUGUCUAGCUGUAUGUUAUUGGGAAAGUUACUUCACCUCUCUGCGCCUCUGUUUCCUCAUCUGUAAGAUGAAGACAACACAAUAAUAGCACCUCCUCAUAGAGUUAUGAAGAUCGGACAGUUCCUGUAUGUAAAACGCUUAGAAUUGUGCUUGGCGUGUAGUCAGUGCCUACUCUUGCAUGCAUGCUCAAUCACAUCCGACUCUGUGACCCUAUGGACUGUAGCCCACCAGGCUUCUCUGUCCAUGGGAUUUUCCAGGUAAGAAUACUGAAUUGGGUUGCCAUUUCCUUCUCCAGGGGAACUUCCUGACCCAGGGAUAAAACCUGCGUCUCCUGUGUUGGCAGGCGUCUUUAUCACUGAGCCACCAGGGAAGGUGGUGCCUACUCUUAGCAAUUGCCAUAUUAGCAAUAACAUAAUCACAUUCAGAUGCCUGACUAUAGCUCAGAAAACUUCAGUAACUUGUCUAAGGUGACACAGUAAGUGGUAGAGCCAAGUUGCAAACACAGGCCUACAUGAAUCUUAAAACUAUGCAUUUCUCCAUGCACUUUGGAAGGACCCAAUGUGGGUAGGCUGCAGGGUGGAGGGCAGGAGAUGGUCAUGAUCAUGGCAUCCAGUCCCAUCACUUCUGGCAAAUAGAUGGGGAAAAGUGGAAGCAGUGACAGAGUUUAUUUUCUUGGGCUCCAAAAUCACUGCAAACAGUGACUGCAACCAUGAAAUUAAAAGAUGCUUGCUCCUUGGAACGAAAACUAUGACAAACAUAGACAGUGUAUUAAAAAGCAAAGAUAUCAUUUUGCCGACAAAAGUCCAUAUAGUCAUGGCUUUUCCAGUAGUCAUGUAUGGCUGUAAAAGUUGGACUAUAAAGAAAGGCUGAGCACUGAACUGAUGACUUCGAAUUGUGGUGCUGGAGAAGACUCUUGAGAAUCCCUUGGAUAGCAAGGAGAUCAAACCAGUCAAUCCUAAAGGAAAUCAACCCUGAAUAUUCACUGGAAGGACUAUGCUGAAGCUGAAGCUCCAAUACUUUGGCCACAUGAUGCAAAGAGCCCACUCAUUGGAAAAGACUCUGAUGCUGGGAAAGAUUGAAGGCAAAAGGAGAAGAGGGCAGCAAAAGAUGAGAUGGUUAGUACCACCACCUCAAUGGACAUGAAUCUGAGCAAACUCCAGGAGAUAGUGAAGGACAGGGAAGCUUGUGUACUGUAGUUGCAGAAUCAAGACACAAUUUAGCAACUGAACAAUAAUACCACCUGGGCUUCCUAGGUGGUGCUAGUGGUAAAGAAUCCUCUUGCAAUGCAGUUGGCCAGGUUGGAUCCCUAGGUCAGGAAGAUCCCCUGGAGGAAGAAAUUCAACCCACUCCAGUAUUCUUGCCUGAAAAAUUCCAGAAACAGUGGAGCCUGGCGGGCUACAGUCCAGGUGGCCACGAGGAACACACACGCAUAAUACCACCUACUUUAUGAGAUCAUCGUGAAGAUUAAAUGAGGUAAUAUAUGUAAAAGAAUAGUGUCUGACAUAUAGAAUAAAUGCAUAGUGUGAAAGUCACUCAGUUGUGUCCGACUCUUUAUGACCCCAUGGACUACACAGUCCAUGGAAUUGUCCAGGUCAGAAUACUGAAGUGGGAAGCUGUUUCCUUCUCCAGGAGAUCUUCCCAACCCAGGGAUCAAACCCAGGUCUCUCACAUUGUGGGAGGAUUCUUUACCAGUUGAGCCACCAGGGAAGUCCAUAAACACAUGUGUUGUUUAAAUAAAUAUAUACAAUUCGAGAGUUAUAGAUAACAUAUAAAUGAAACACUCCUUUUGUAGUUUAGUGCCAUAAAAAUUCAAAAACAGGAAAAAUCAUAGGAGAAAAGAAAUUUCACUUAUUUUAGUAGAACCAAAUAAUGGACAGAGAUGUGGGCUGGAUCCAGGCAAAAGUAUGGAGGCAGAAACUGGCAUGGUCAGUGCUACAGAAGAGGUGGGGGUGAGAAGGGAUGGUCAGACAGUAGAACUGGGGAAUAGGGAGAGAUAAGGUUGAGGUCUGAUUACAUAAGACUCUGAAAGCUAGAUUUGCUUUAAUGGGCAAUGACGAAUGGUUGGAACAUUUCAUGAUGAAUGUGGCCUAUUUGGAAGAUUCAUCUGGCAGAUGAAGAUUGGAGAAGAGAAAAUUAGAAGGAAGGACAAUUAGGAGGCAGUUACAAAAAUUCUGGCUUGAGGCAGUGAGAACCUAAUUUAAUAUUACAUUAGACAUGGAGGAGAUGAGGGGAAAUUUUGAGAUAUAUGGUUUUAUUUAUUCUUUUAAUUUUUAUUUCAUAUUGAAGCAUAGUUGAUUAACAAUGUUGUGUUAGUUUCAGGUAUAUAUCAAAGUGAUUCAGUUAUACAUGUAUCUAUUCCUUUUCAAUUUUUUUCCCAUUUAGGUUAUUAUAGAAUAUUCAGUGGAGUUCCUGUGCUAUAUGGUCAGUCUUUGUUGGUUGAGAUAUAUGGUUUUUAAUUUAUUUUCAAAAAAAUAAAGGUAAGAUAUACUUAAAGUUGAGCUUCCCUGGUAGCUCAGCUGGUAAAGAAUCUGCCUGAGACCCCGGUUCAAUGCAGGAGACCCCGGUUCAAUUCCUGGGUAGGCAAGUUCCCUUGGAGAAGGGAUAGGCUACCCACUCCAGUAUUCUUGGGCUUCCCUGGUGGCUCAGAUGGUAAAGAAUCUGCUGCAAUGCAGGAGACCUGGGUUUGAUCCCUGGGUUGGGAAGGUUUCCUGGAGGAGGGCAUGGCACUCCAGUAUUCUUGCCUGGAGAAUCCCCAUGGGGAGAGGAGCCUGGUGGGUUACAGUCCAUGGGAUCACAAAGAUUCACACAUGACUGAGCGACUAUGCACAGCACAGAACAGCAUACUUAGAGUUAAAAAAAUCGGAUAGUACAUAAAGGCAUAAAAUGAAAAACAAAAUCUCCCGUCUCUUCCUCACCUCAAGUCUAGUUUCACAAAGGCAACCACUCUUUAACAGUUUCUUGUGUAUCUCAGAUGAGUUUUAAGCACAUAGCUAUCAAUAAACAGUUGACUCUCUUUUAUUUCAAGGAGGUUGCUUUCUAUAAUGUUGCCUCCAACGUUGAAUUAGCAAAUACCAUUGCUCCUGGGGGGAAAUACAGGGUAGGUUCUUGCAAGCCUAUGAUCAGAACAUUUUCAACUAAUAAAUUCAUAACUUUGUUUUGUGUUUCUGUCAAAAGACACCUUCUUUAAUAACUGUUGUUUCAUUAACUUGUGACUAACAGCCUUCUAAAUCCUGCCUGAAGGAAGCUUAUUUAACACCUGUUUUCUCUGUAGGGCACAGCUCAGCCUUCUUGCACCUGGAAGCACGUAAGCACUACCGUUGGGGGCCACUGAAAACAGUGAAAUCACCCGCAAAAACAAACCUGAAAAACAGCACUAAGUAGACCGUGAAUGGGACACUUGGCAGGAUGAGAGCUGAAACAAGAGGCGGAGUGUUGCUGCUGGGCCUCAGCUGGGAACGUAACUGUCCCAUGACUCAGAUUGGUUGUUGCUCUGGAUUUGUCUGGGAUUGACCAUGAAAACCUUAUGAGUACUGAUUGGGGAAUUACAGAUAAAUUUUAGUAAGUAGGCAAAUUGACAAAUACAGAACUUGCAAAUCAUGAGGAUGAACCAAAUGUAGAGAGAGGACCAGUUUCUCAACUGUGUGACUUGUCCAGUCACAGAUUGCAUUCAGAAGGGCCUUGAGCUUGGUUUAAUGCUCUGCUGUUGUUACUGUCCUGAAAUUCCUAACUUAAAAAAAAAAUUAUAGUUGAUUUAUAAUAUUGUGUUAGUUUCAAAUGUACAGCAAACUGAUUGGGUUAUAUAUAUACU